CAAGGAGUCCCCCUCUGCCUGAAUUCUCUUUUGAUUAGUCGCACAGAAGAGUGGAAUUAGUUCUUGUGUUUUUCGCUUUUCCCUUGGCUAGUAGUCUCCGGAAGACGGGGUCCUUCAGGCGUGCUGAAGCCUACUAACGACCACAGGAGUGACUGGGAGACCCAGCAGACAGCGAGCAGCUUGAGUUUGGGUCGAGGAGUGCCCCUUUUUUCCUCUCGUUCUCUCGGUUGUCAUAACCUUGUAGUACCUCUGGAAGGAAAUGGAAAUUCCUUUGGAUCAUAUUCUAGUUUUUAGGAGCAUCUACUAGAGAUUUUGGGUCCCACUUGGAACAAACGUAGUAAGCUCAUCUUGCACGUAAAUUGAAAUUAUGGAAAUUAUCCCCAACUUACGGCACCUCCAAAUGUAGCAUGGGAAUAAAUAUUGACAUGUCAACACAGGAUUAAUAAAUAGUAUACAAAGAGUGCUUACAAAAGUCAUUAAAAAUGAAGUCCCGCUUCUAAAGGUGAAAUAUGCAAAUUAAAGUAGCAGUUAAAUAAUGUGUUUUGUCAUUGAGGUAAAAAUUACAAAGAAUCAGGGAUCUGGGGAAUUGGACACUCACAUACUGUUAGAUGAAGUGUAAAUUAAUACUGUACAAUCUUCCUAAGGGAAAUAUUUGAAAGCAUUUAACAGAUUUUUAAAACCUUAGGACCCAGCAAUUCCAUUUUGGUAAAUUAAUCCUAAGGACAUUCUUUUAAAACAUGAACAAAUGUAUGUAUGGCAACAUUGUCUAUAGGAUCAAAACGUUACUAACCACUAAAAUGUCCAACAUUAAGUGGUUGGACAAAUUGCUUCACCUCUUGGUGUCACAGUUUCCUCAUCUGUUAAGAAACAGGAAUAAUAGGGUUGCGAAUAUCAAAUGAAUUAGUACAAGCAAAACGCUUGUUACACUGCCUAGCAUAGAGUAAGCACUAAAUAAGUGUAACUGAUCAUUAUAAUUAAUAUUGGUCAAUUAAAUCAUAGUACACAAGACGUGAAAACUAUACAGCUAUUUAAGGUGCAUAAUAUAGAUUGAUAUUUACACAGACACCUGAAUACAUAAGUUUUCAGACGGAAGUUACAAACCUUGUGAAAUUACAAAUGCCCACAAUUUUAAAAGUUUGAAAGGAAAUACGUGAGAAUACUAUGACAUGAUUAUCUCUGAGUGGCAAGAUUUUGGACAAUGUUUUUGUUCUUCGUGCAUUUUAUAUAUUCAAAAUAUUUUAAUGAUAAGCAUGUAUUUUACUCAAAAGCAGAAAAAAAUGUUACAACAAUGUAAAAAUGAUAUGUUGGUACCAUCAGUUUCUUAAUAUUUUGAGGGGCCAAUACCAAAAGUGUGCUUGUGUUUCAUUAUGAGAAGUAUAGAAUUAUUCCAAAAUAUCACGACUGAUAGGGAAGUCAGAGCAUUCCCUCUCAAAAAUGUGCUUUGAUUGCUGGGCUGAGAGAAUUAGGUGACAAGUUGUUUACUUUAAGUUCCUAAGCAGUGUCUUGGGCCAUUACUGUAAGUGCCAGAGCUAGAUAUUAGUGGCUCAGACUGGCUGUAUCAGAGCCAGAUAUUGAUGAAAAUGCAUUUGGAUGUGCUUUGUACUCCAGACGUACUCUGUUGCCAGCAAUAAGCUAGGGCACAAACUGUUCAAGCCUUGAUUAUCAACAUGUGUGCAAUAGGAAUAAUACAUACUAGUAUUGAAAGCAUUAUCCAUUUAUUCUGACCUAGAAUGACCUUAGCUGUGGGGGAGGGGGGAUCUCAAUGAUUAAUGUGCUGUAUAAAUAAACAAUUUUAAAAUAUAAAAUUUUAAAUAUUAUAUGUAACAUAAAAGCCAAACAUAAAAAGUGAAAUGCUUUGUGUUUUGUGGUUAACUUUCCUUAUAAUUCAUAGAGUUUCACUUUUAGUAUUACCAUAGUUUUUAAAACGUUUUGAAGACUACAUAUCAAUGUCACAUUAAAGUGUUUCUGUAAUAUUGUAUGUUUAAUAAAUUCUGUGGUUACUUUUUGAAUGUUAUAUCCCUUUAUUCUUAGUUUGAUUUUGAAAAUUCUUCUACCUUAAAAACAAAAAUACUGGC